rnacentral:rRNA from 1 species
AUUGAACGCUGGCGGCAUGCCUUACACAUGCAAGUCGAACGGCAGCACGGGAGCAAUCCUGGUGGCGAGUGGCGAACGGGUGAGUAAUAUAUCGGAACGUGCCCAGUCGUGGGGAUAACGUAGCGAAAGCUACGCUAAUACCGCAUACGAUCUAUGGAUGAAAGCGGGGGAUCGCAAGACCUCGCGCGAUUGGAGCGGCCGAUAUCAGAUUAGGUAGUUGGUGAGGUAAAGGCUCACCAAGCCGACGAUCUGUAGCUGGUCUGAGAGGACGACCAGCACACUGGGACUGAGACACGGCCCAGACUCCUACGGGAGGCAGCAGUGGGGAAUUUUGGACAAU